rnacentral:rRNA from 1 species
UCAAGUUAUUAAGGGUGCAGGGCGGAUGCCUUGGCACUAGGAGCCGAUGAAGGACGUGAUAAGCUGCGAUAAGCUUCGGGGAGUUGCACGUAAACUUUGAUCCGAAGAUUUCCGAAUGAGGAAACUCACUUAGAGUAAUGUCUAAGUAUCAUUAAGUGAAUACAUAGCUUAAUGAGGGGAACUCAGGGAACUGAAACAUCUAAGUACCUGAAGGAAGAGAAAGAAAUUCGAUUCCGUAAGUAGCGGCGAGCGAACGCGGAUUAGCCCAAACCAAUAAAGUUUUCUUUAUUGGGGUUGCGGACAUAUCAUAACGAAGAGGUAUCGUAAUUGAAGAGGUUUGGAAAGACCCACCACAGAAGGUAAUAGUCCUGUAUGUUAAACGAGAAGACUUCAGAUAUGAUCCAGAGUACCACGGGACACGUGAAACCCUGUGGGAAGCAGGAGGGACCACCCUCCAAGGCUAAAUACUACCUAGUGACCGAUAGCGUAUAGUACCGUGAGGGAAAGGUGAAAAGAACCCCGGGAGGGGAGUGAAAUAGAACCUGAAACCCUGCACUUACAAGCUGUGGAAGCACAUUUCUUGUGUGACCGCGUACUUUUUGUAGAACGGGCCAACGAGUUACGUUAAGUAGCAAGGUUAAGCACUUAAGGUGUGGAGCCGUAGCGAAAGCGAGUUUUAACUGAGCGUUCAGUUACUUGACGUAGACCCGAAACCGGGCGACCUACCCAUGAGCAGGAUGAAGCGAAAGUAAAAUUUCGUGGAGGUCCGAACCCACGAGCGUUGAAAAGCUCGGGGAUGACUUGUGGGUAGCGGUGAAAUUCCAAUCGAGCCCGGAGAUAGCUGGUUCUCCCCGAAAUAGCUUUAGGGCUAGCCUCAAGGUGAGAGAUACGGAGGUAGAGCACUGAAUGUCCUAGGGGGUAUUGCACCUACCGAAGACUAUCAAACUCCGAAUGCCGUCAUCUUAUACUUGGGAGUCAGACUGUGGGUGAUAAGAUUCAUAGUCGAAAGGGCAACAGCCCAGAUCGUCAGCUAAGGUCCCUAAAUGUAAGUUAAGUGGUAAAGGAUGUGGGAUUGCACAGACAACCAGGAUGUUGGCUUAGAAGCAGCCACUCAUUCAAAGAGUGCGUAAUAGCUCACUGGUCGAGUGAUCCUGCGCCGAAGAUUUCCGGGGCUAAAACUUACUACCGAAGCUACGGCAUCAGUAAUGAUGGGUAGGGGAGCUUCCCAUACGGGUUGAAGCAUGACCGUAAGGACAUGUGGACAGUAUGGGAGUGAGAAUGUUGGCAUGAGUAGCGAGAUGUGGGUGAGAAUCCCACAGGCCGUAAACCCAAGGUUUCCAGGGGAAGGUUCGUCCGCCCUGGGUUAGUCGGGACCUAAGCUGAGGCCGAAAGGCGUAGGUGAUGGACAACAGGUUGAUAUUCCUGUACUACCGAUAACCGUUUGAGAGAAGGGAUGACACAGUAGGAUAAGCUAAGCACACUGUUGGUUAUGUGUGCCCAAGCAUUGAGGCAGUCAAAGUAGGCAAAUCCGCUUUGAUAAUGCUGGGAUGUGAUGGGGAGCGAAAUUUAGUAGCGAAGUAGCUGAUUUCACACUGUCAAGAAAAGUCUCUAUCGAGGUUAAAGGUACCCGUACCGCAAACCGACGCAGGUGGGUGAGGAGAGUAUCCUAAGGCCAGCGAGAGAACUGUUGUUAAGGAACUCGGCAAAAUGACCCCGUAACUUAGGGAUAAGGGGUGCCACCAUCAGGUGGCCGCAGAGAAUAGGCCCAAGCGACUGUUUACCAAAAACAUAGGUUUCUGCUAAGUCGCAAGACGAUGUAUAGGAGCUGACGCCUGCCCGGUGCUGGAAGGUUAAGGGGAUCUGUUAGAGCAAUCGAAGCAGUGAACUUAAGCCCCAGUAAACGGCGGCCGUAACUAUAACGGUCCUAAGGUAGCGAAAUUCCUUGUCGGGUAAGUUCCGACCCGCACGAAAGGCGUAACGAUUUGGGCACUGUCUCAACAACAGACUCGGUGAAAUUGUAAUUCCGGUGAAGAUGCCGGAUACCUGCGACAGGACGGAAAGACCCCAUGGAGCUUUACUGUAGCUUGACAUUGGGUCUUGGUACUACAUGUACAGGAUAGGUGGGAGGCUUUGAAACCAGGACGCCAGUUUUGGCGGAGCCAUCCUUGGGAUACCACCCUUGUAGUACUGGGACUCUAACCAUAGGCCAUGAAUCUGGUCUUGGGACACUGUCAGGUGGGCAGUUUGACUGGGGCGGUCGCCUCCCAAAAGGUAACGGAGGCGCUCAAAGGUUCUCUCAGUACGGUCGGAAAUCGUACGUAGAGUGUAAAGGCAAAAGAGAGCUUGAUUGCAAGACAUACAGGUCGAGCAAGGAUGAAAAUCGGACUUAGUGAUCCGGUGGUUCUGCGUGGAAGGGCCAUCGCUCAACGGAUAAAAGCUACCCUGGGGAUAACAGGCUUAUCUCCCCCAAGAGUCCACAUCGACGGGGAGGUUUGGCACCUCGAUGUCGGCUCAUCACAUCCUGGGGCUGUAGUAGGUCCCAAGGGUUGGGCUGUUCGCCCAUUAAAGUGGUACGCGAGCUGGGUUCAGAACGUCGUGAGACAGUUCGGUCCCUAUCCGUCGCAGGCGUAGGAAAUUUGAGAAGACCUGUCCUUAGUACGAGAGGACCGGGAUGGACGUACCUCUGGUGUACCAGUUGUUCUGCCAAGGGCAUGGCUGGGUAGCUAUGUACGGAAUGGAUAAGCGCUGAAAGCAUCUAAGCGCGAAGCCAACUUCAAGAUAAGAUUUCCCACCGUAAGGGUAAGACCCCAGAAAGACUAUCUGGUUGAUAGGUCGAAGGUGUAAGUGCAGCAAUGUAUUUAGCUUAUCGAUACUAAUAGGUCGAGGACUUGACCAA